GAAGGCAUCCGUAUCCGGUGGUGCGGCUGGACUUCAAAUCCGGUUAGGGGCGUCAGACGCUCCUGGGUAGGUUCGACUCCUGCUGCCUUCCGCCA
rnacentral:tRNA from 1 species